UGACCAAGCGGGGCUGUCGCGCUAUAUGUUGGUGAAAGCUAUUAUAGCGAGGAAAGUCCGGGCAUCACAGGGCAGGAUAACGGAUAACGUCCGCCGGAGGCGACUCCCGGGAAAGUGCAACAGAAAUAAACCGCCCGAGGUGUUUUUGACGAGUGCAGAAAUCGUUUUCUUCACACCGCCAGGCAUAGUUACCUAUGUCAAGGUGGGAAAAGCGAUUAACACGAACGAUAGUUUGUGUGUUCUGUGCCGUCAAAAGCAUCUCGGGCAAGGAUGGAAAGGCGAGGUAAGAGCUCACCCACUCCUAUGGCAACAUAGGUUUGCUGUAAACCCUAUCCGAUGCAACACCUUUGGUUUCGAUUUUUUCGAGGGGCUGCCCGCCCCGAUACCGAUGGUGGCAGAGCAUUUGCUUGAACUGCGGAGUGAUUCGCAGUGAAGAUAGAUGACAGCUGCACGUAAGUGUACAGAACCCGGCUUACAAGCUCGGUCAUUUA
rnacentral:RNase_P_RNA from 1 species